rnacentral:lncRNA from 1 species
AUGGGAAAAGGAAAUGAAAACUCUGAUUCACCACUGCUCGUACAUCCAAUGCCCCACUGACCAGCCUUCUUUCAAACAGAUCUCCUUUACAGAAAAGGGCUCAGAUGAGAAGAAACCAUUGAAAGAAAAAAGGCAAGACCCCCUCCUCCCAUUCCAGUGAGAAGCACAUGCAAAGGCAGGAUCAAAGCCUAAUCCAAAUGGAAAGAAUUCUGAGGAAACUAAGCUCAAAGUCAGAAACAGCACUGCUAGAUCAGAACCAGAGUAGAGCUUGCAUGAGGGAAACUCCAAGUAAAGGAGAAUCAGCUCCAAAGACAGCUGCCAAGACAGAGCAAGGAACUGUCCAAGAGAAGAGUGCAGCUUGAUGUUGAAAAAGAAACUAAAAGUCCUCCACUGCUUUGCAAAGCAGUGAAAUCCAGGAGACCUGUGAUGCCCACCAUAGAGGUCCUUUCAUGGCUUGCACUGGGUGCAGCAAGUGGCACAAGUCUCAGGCCCCUGGAGUUCAAUAGUCAUCACUUUGGAAAGCUUAGUGAACUUCCGAGGUGAGUCAAAGGCCAUUUAUCAAAACCCAUCCCAUGUGUUGGUGCAGCAGGUCCAUUCUCCACUGACCUGGGAGAAGCUCACUCAGCUUGCCUGGAUCUGGGGGCCUCUGUGUGCCCAGGUGCAGACCUUCUAUGCCAUGGCCACCCAGGCAGGUUAUGUCUUCUCUCUUAAGAACUGGCUUGUUUCAGCCACACUGCCUGGCCCUGAGGAUUCAGCUCUGGAUAGAGAAGCCCAUCCCUUGCCUGGGCAGGAGAUAACUGAGCCUGUCAGUAGAUCAGAUGAGGCUUAGGCU